GAUGAACGCUAGCGGGAGGCCUAAUACAUGCAAGUCGAGCGGUAGAGUGACUUCGGUUGCUUGAGAGCGGCGAACGGGUGAGUAACGCGUACACAAUCUACCUUUAAGAGGGGAAUAGCCCUGGGAAACUGGGAUUAAUGCCCCAUGGCAUCACGAAGUGGCAUCGCUUUGUGAUUAAAGCUGAGGUGCUUAGAGAUGAGUGUGCGUCUGAUUAGCUAGUUGGUGCGGUAACGGCGCACCAAGGCGACGAUCAGUAGGGGGCGUGAGAGCGUGGACCCCCACACGGGUACUGAGACACGGACCCGACUCCUACGGGAGGCAGCAGUAAGGAAUAUUGGUCAAUGGAGGAAACUCUGAACCAGCCAUCCCGCGUGCAGGAAGAAUGCCCUAUGGGUUGUAAACUGCUUUUUAUCUGGGAAGAAAGGUCGGCAUUUAUGCUGAUCUGACGGUACCAGAGGAAUAAGCACCGGCUAACUCCGUGCCAGCAG
rnacentral:rRNA from 1 species